rnacentral:rRNA from 1 species
AUGUAAAGAACAGGUUCCAAAUCACGAUCGAUUCCCUUUUCAAAACCUGCUGCAGCAGCUCGGGCUCUUCCUGCAUGCCAUAAAUGGCCCACAAAAAAGAAGAAUCCUAGAACAAAAUGA